UACGGAGGGUGCAAGCGUUAUCCGGAUUCACUGGGUUUAAAGGGUGCGUAGGUGGAUGAGUAAGUCAGUGGUGAAAUCUCCGGGCUUAACCCGGAAACUGCCAUUGAUACUAUUUAUCUUGAAUAAUCUGGAGGUGAAUGGAACAUGUCAUGUAGCGGUGAAAUGCUUAGAUAUGACAUAGAACAUCAAUUGUGAAAACAGUUCACUACGGAUUCAUUGACACUGAGGCACGAAAGCGUGGGGAU
rnacentral:rRNA from 1 species